UGAUAACUGCCCUGGCUUACAAAGCAUG
rnacentral:piRNA from 1 species